ensembl:lncRNA
AUAAAAGCGUGUUUUAAAUAAAUAAAUGUAAAUGUACUUUAAUGUUGUUAUUAGUGUUGUUUGCUAAGGCAUAAUACUUUAGGGAUUUGAACAAACUUCUCACCUUAAUUUAUCACAUUUCAGUGUGUAAUUGCACUGUUUUUUACCUCACAACAUGCAGCUUGAGGUAGGCCAUUUCUCUUGUAAGUGAUUAAAGUUUUUGCCCAGCAGACAAAUAAAAAAACCUGCUUCAACUAGAAAGAGGGACCCAAGCCAAAUGUAAGGACUGUAGUAUCACAGACUUUUGAUUUUGGCCAGUUAGCAACCAACACCCUAGCGAUCACUCAUCUGUUGAAUUAAAGCGACAGAUUUUGCAAACACCAUUCUACGCAAGUUCUCUUCCAAAAUUUUUACAGUGAAAACUGAUCUUUAGAACUCGAGCUGAAAAGGAAAUACAUGAAAAGUUGUUUUUGUACAAAGGGCGAAGGGGACACAAGCUUCUCUGUAAUGCCUCGUUUAAGCUUGGAAAGAUUCCGAGCACAACAAACAAUAGCAAUCAAACACUAUGGGCUAAAGAGUGUGUGAGAGAGGGUCCAGUAUAGUGUUAUUCCUUGCCGGAAGAAACGAAAAAGAAACAAGCAACAAAACUGCUCAUCAGGGAAUGUUAGCAGACUGAUAGAUGAGUAUACCAUUGCUUAAUUGUGUUCCUGUUAGGAGGAGCCCAGAUGUGCAUUUGAGAUGUAGUCAAAGGUUUGAUGAGAGUGGCUAGGUGCCAGAGGAGUUGAUUUCCAGCAAAGCACAGAGAACCAAUCAAAUUAGGGUUAAAUUAGAGAGAAGAUAUGUUGAGUUUCAGUCCUCCCCUGUGUCUUUCUCUGCAGUGAAACUGAAUGAAAGAUUAGCUUCAUCAGCUACUACACACAGGUUAUAACUUCUAACUAAGCUUCUGUCAUUUAAAAGACAUCUUUUUGUCAAUCUGCUGUAGAUACAGUAGAUGUUUUUACCUUCAUUUGGGAGAAGUCUACACAGAGAAUGAAAAAUAACUUUUAACCUGCCCAUGAACUCUGUCAAUCAUAUGGCAGUGCACGGAGCCCUCACCUGGGGCAGCAUCAGAGUGCUGUUUCUGACCUUGACGCUGUCAGUGGCAGUCAAAUUUGUCAGCAGCUGUCACUGUAGGGGACUACAUUUCCAAACUGUGAGGUAAUGGGGAGGACAGAGAAGAUUGUUGGCCAGCAAAGGGUUAGGGACAGAAGAGGGCAUUUGGCUGAGAAUUUGGUGUUAAACCUUCAGGGCUCCAUUCAAAAUCGUUGAAUUUGGAUGAAGCUGACUCUAUAUUUGUCCUCCAGGGGGGAUGCCAGAGAAGAAAAACAACAGACCUCUACCCAUUUGACCAUCUGUGCAUUAGUGACCUCCAUGUGGUCAAGCUGACAUUGCCAGCAAGUGAAGAGAAGGGCCAGGAUGUAGGAUCCACACACCUGUUUGGGGUGCACCACUGACUGAGCCAAAUAUAGACAGUUUCCAUGGCAAUUGCAGAGAAUCUUUCUCAGGUGGAGGGGCUGCUGCAGUCCAAUAGCAGGAUGUGUUUUUCUAAAUGGCUAUAGGGGUCUAUUGCGUAAUGCCAUUUUCCGGGAAAUUGAAAAAGAAGUCCUGUUGCUUCAUGCACAAGUCACUUGUGCAAUCAGGUGACACUGAGAGAACAUUGGAAGUUAAAAGUAAUGUUUUGCUGGUUUUGUCUUUUUUUUUUUUAUGCUCCAAGAGCAAUGCUGUGAACUCCUCAACUUUGAACUUUUCACUUAAAUCUGAUUUGUGAGAAUUUGGAACCUUGUUGUUCCUUGAUCAACAAGGAUGUGGAUGAAGUUGUGCUACUCUGUAAAAUGGCAGUCACAUUUGUUUAUCCAUAGUGCUUCGUCUUGAUCUAGCUGUGAAAUAAGGCAUAUCACAAAUACAUGUUGCACCAUUGCAUUGGCUAGAAUGAUUGAAUCACUUUGUACUUUGAAUGCCAGCUCCCCCUGGGCAUUAUAUUUGGUACUGCAUGUCCGUUGAACCUCCAACUGUGCAAGUAAAUGUCUAUAAAACAUUUUUUCUCUGUUCUUGGGAUGUCUGAGGCUCAGUUCAGUGUCCAUGGAGUUCCCUUUGUUACAUCUUCAGAUAUCAUUUGGUACUUUGGCUUUUUUGGAAACAGUUAAUAUCUUUCUUCAAAAAAGGGUCAACAUCGUUCAUCUACCAUCUUAGUUGCAGAAAACUGUUCUGGACAGCAGUCCCACAAGCCCAAUCAGCAGGCUGACUUAUUCAGACUGAUGCUUUCUCCCACUGAUAACGGGACCCUGGAGAGACCGGAUGGCUGGCAGGUUCUUUUACGACUGCGGGGGAGCCACGGCACACACAAACUCUCACCAUGUACAAACAAGACUCAAAAUCAUACCUGCUCAAAUUAUUCUACCUUUCUUUCUUCCACAUUUACUGUCACAUUCCAUUGUAUGUUCACCUGCUGCUGCUGCUGUUGAACAGCCAAAUGAAGUGGAUUUUUCUUUUAGUGUUGAUCCAGUGUAAGUCUGGUCGACUAACCGCAGCAGUGAACCACAACGUGAGUCCUUUGAGGUAUGAGUUCACAACUAAGCCUGCAGGGCUUUUGUGUACAGCAGUUCAACUCUUAAUUGCAAGAAAAAUUAGGCGCCGUCUUCCAUUUACCAAACAGGCAGAUGUUGCCAUGGAAACGGUAAAGCACUUCAAGGCUUCGGCGAAUGAGAGGCCUUGGGUUUGAUUGGCCUGGAGGUCUGACUGCGGGGAAAACAGACCAGAGACAACAACACCAUGCUGUAGUUUUUGAUAUUGCCCCUAUGCUGUUGUAGAGCUUUCAAUACUGUAUUAUAUAGCUUAUAAAAGAUACAGUAUAACUGACUUCAAAAAUGUCUGUGUGUAUCUAUCAGCACAUCAGCUUACCAAGAGGGAAAAAAAGAACAUAUAGAAUUCAAAAAGCUACUUUAAAAGGCCUUUAAUGUGUUUUCCCUUCAACUGUGCCUUAGGCGAUUCAGAGCCGAGCGAAAAUACCAAUGAGCUACAGGCCGAGAGUUUACUGCAGGAUUUGUGCUUAUUUCUAUUUUCAAAAUUAUACACACAGUUGGAAUGUGUCAAAAUGUCAGAACACUUCCAAAAAAUACAGACAUUUAACUAAAAAAAAAAAAAAAACUUCCCGCUGUCCUUACCUAAUAGAUAAAGUCCUAGGUCGAAAAAUGACUAGCAAAUGAGAGAGGAGUGAAUGAUGAUGUAACUUGAGUACUUUAUACAAAAAAAAAACCAACAAAAAAAAAAAAACGUGUUAUUAUCUGAGCUUAUUUUAAACUAAUGAGCUUAGUGGAUUAUUGUUCCAUUCUUCAUGUGAAAAAAAAAUGUGGUCAGAACAGUGUGAAGCUAUCUGUGUCCCUACAGCAAUAUUUGUUGUUUGUUUAAUAGAAUCAAUUAAAUUCUUUUUCUCAAGCAUUAAACAAGAACAUCCUUCCUCACAUGGAUUUGUAUGUAUGGUCCUCACAAUAAUGAAAUGGUGAGGAUGAGGAAUUACACAAGCAUUCAAAAAAACAAUUUUUUUUGUCUUUUUGUUUGUUUGUUUGUACUCGGGUAAAGGUCAGAACUCUACGGUGACCCUGUAGUGCACAACACAUAGAAAUCACCAUAACACAACACAUCAUUUCUUUGUGUUGCGGCUUCUUUCCAUUGUGUCAUGGAGAUUUUGUGUUGUGUACUACUGGGCCACCAUGCAGAAAGAAAUUAGGCUAAAUAAAUAACACCUUUACACUUACAGAGUGAUAAAAUUUUCAUUCAGGGAGUUCAAUUUUCAAGAAGCUCCAGGUGAACUGUUCUUUAGUGGUUUACUAAUACGGUGUAUUCAUUACUCCGUAGACACAGUCUGUAUGACUUCCAGUAUCAUUCACAGCCUGGGAGGCAUGUGGGUUAGCAAGGCUAAUCGUAAUGUAGAUUUCUAUUGACUUUUGUAUUGACAUUAGAGCUGUGUGAAUGCAAAUGUGUGCUGUGUGGAUUGUUUGUGGCGCAGCUCUCACAGUCACAGCUUUUCAUUUGAAAAGGUUGCAGCGUUUGGUGACAAGAAGUGACUGCUAAUAAAUUGAAUUAGAAAUUGUGUAACACAGGAUGUGGAACAUGGGCUGCCUGAAUGGCAUGUAAAAUGUCGGCUUUUGGUAAUUUAUCUUUUAAUAAUUUAAAGAAAAUUCCAUUGAAAUGCUUUAUCGGAUCAUAACAAGGACAGUGGAUCACUUCUGCCCCCUAGAGUUUGAGAUCGUUAAAGCAGCCAACUCUUAGAUACUGUUUCAUUUAGAUUGAUUUUUUUUUUUUUUUUUUUUUUUUAAUUCUUCAUUCCUCAGAAGACCA